CCGCCUAAAGCUCAUUAACAUGUUGUAUCUCAUUAGUUUAACGUUGAAUAAUUUUGUCAGAUCAGUUGAGAGACACACAAAUACUUUUCACUUUCCCACUACCUGCAAAAUAAAUGAUAUAUUGGGCCUUUACUGUAACAGGUAUUUCACCUGAACAUUUUCCGAUUCAGGAGAUGCAAUUUGAGAUUGCAUCACAAAACAUCUAGAGGCAAAGGAGCACCAACUGGGGAUAAGCUAAAACAAGACCUGCCAAAAAAACACAGAUAGUACACACACAGAUACAUUUUUUAGCAAAUCUGAAGAGCAACAAAGCAAUUUGCCACAUGUAGACUCUGCACAGCGGCUCCUCUGGGCAUGAAAUCAUAUAGUUUAAGUCAAUAAAUGUAAAAUCCAGCAGGGAUUUCCACCCGGAGUUGUUAACAAGAUUGCUCAGAUGUAAGCUAAGGAGAGAAAAGAGCAAGCUAUAAUUGCCUGAGACCAAAACCUGUCAGGGUUAGAAUUUGAUUGUAUUGGUUUGACUAAAGCAACAACAGGCAUAGUUUCUUUUAAACGUUAUUUACCCAGACGAGCUACACAGAGAGCAAUGCCUUCUUUUAGAGGAACACUUUGCUCAGUCUCACAGUUACACACCUGGAAGCUCCCUGUAUAACCACAGUCUGAUCUGUUAGCCACUGAGCAGCUCCACCGGAGUGGUUGUGAGUUAUGGGCCUUGCUCAACAGCACCUCACCUCACCUCAGCGGUAAUAAUCCUUCACUAUCACGACCCAGAUUUAUCCUGCCAUUUCUGGGACUGAAGCAAUGACCUACCAGUUAUAAACCAGCUUCUCUCUCUGAUUUACUGCCCACAUCACAAUUUUCUGUUGUGAAUAAAGUAGGUAUGGUGUUGUGCAUGCAUAGGGAUGUUUACAAUGGAGAAACAAUUGAGUCGAUCAGAGUUUAAAAAUGAAGAUGUCACCUUCCUGGCAACAUCGAGACAUAGAAGCAGAAAAACAGCCACACAAAUGGCAACAAACAUGGAUUAGAUCGACACAGAUAUACAGGUUUUUGUAAGUUUAAUUACAGAACUAACUACCACAACGUUUUAUAGCUUAGGCCAUCGGUUUUCUCUGAGUACUAAGGUCUUGGAACACGACAAUGUUGCUAAGUGGAUUCAACGGGGCAAGAAACACUAACAGACGAUCAUACAGAUUUCCCGUGGGCGAGCGGGCCAUGUUUUCGAGGAUCAUCAUAAAUGCAUUGGAGCAAUCUCUCUCUUUCAAGGCUGUACUGAUGAGCUGUGGAAUGUGUUCGGAUAAGUAACGAGUAACUAAGAUGCUUAGGGGAGAUGUAGUGGAGUAAAAGUAAAAGUUCAGAUACGUGUAAAUUCUAGCUGUCAUUUCAGUACAAAUCUAUGCAAACGGAAAAGCGCCCCACCACAUCCCCAUCGCCACCAGUCUUACAGACUCAUCAUCUCCAUCAGCAUCAACAUAAUCAUCCGCCACCGCCAGUGUCCAGACUCCAUGGGGGGAUUUAUCCUGCUGCUUGCUGCUCAGGGCAGACGCCCCUCUAUUUUUCUCUUCCUGUAGAGUCUAAGCGCCAAAGACUUUCUGCCAAGACUUAAUUAUCACAUAUUGUCUGUUAUAAUAAACAUUCAUCUUUACUUCA